AUACGUAGGGGGCGAGCGUUGUCCGGAAUGAUUGGGCGUAAAGGGCGCGUAGGCGGCGCGGUAAGUCUGGAGUGAAAGUCCUGCUUUCAAGGUGGGAAUUGCUUUGGAUACUGCCGCGCUUGAGUGCAGGAGAGGUUAUCGGAAUUCCCGGUGUAGCGGUGAAAUGCGUAGAGAUCGGGAGGAACACCAGUGGCGAAGGCGGGUAACUGGACUGCAACUGACGCUGAGGCGCGAAAGUGUGGGGAGCAAACAGGAUUAGAUACCCUGGUAGUCCACACUGUAAACGAUGAAUGCUAGGUGUAAGAGGUAUCGACCCCUUUUGUGCCGGAGUUAACACAAUAAGCAUUCCGCCUGGGGAGUACGGCCGCAAGGUUGAAACUUAAAGGAAUUGACGGGG
rnacentral:rRNA from 1 species